AGGCCAGUAGCUCAGUCGGUAGAGCAGCGGAUUCCAAAUCCGCAGGUCGUGGGUUCGAGUCCCUCCUGGCCUG
rnacentral:tRNA from 1 species